UACGAGGGGUGCAAGCGUUGCUCGGAAUCAUUGGGCGUAAAGGGUAGGUAGGUGGUCUGAUUUGUCUGGGGUGAAAGCCUUGAGCUUAACUCAAGAAGUGCCUCGGAAACGGUCAGACUAGAGUCCUGGAGAGGGUCGCGGAAUUCCCGGUGUAGCGGUGAAAUGCGUAGAGAUCGGGAGGAACACCAGAGGCGAAGGCGGCGAUCUGGACAGGAACUGACACUCAACUACGAAAGCAUGGGGAGCAAACAGG
rnacentral:rRNA from 1 species